GCCGGGCAUGGUGGCGGGCGCCUGUAAUCCCAGCUACUCAGGAGGCUUAGGCAGGAGAAUGGCGUGAACCUGGGAGGCGGAGCUUGCAGUGAGCUGAGAUCGUGCCACUGCACUCCAACCUGGGCAACAGCGAGACUCCAUCUCAAAAAGAAAAAAAAAAAAAAAAAGAAUGUAUGUGUGUAACAAAGUAACUGGGCAUUGACUUAGAUGAACAGCAAUUUGGGGACAGUAAAGCCAAUCUUAAAUUUUUUUUUUUUUUUUUUUUGAAACAGAGUCUCGCUCUGUGGCCCAGGCUGGAUGGAGUGCAGUGGCGUGAUCUCGGCUCACUGCAAGCUCCGCCUCCCGGGUUCACGCCACUCUCCUGCCUC
rnacentral:SRP_RNA from 1 species